CCCUGGUUAGCUCAGUUGGUAGAGCGCUCCACUUGUAAUGGAGAGGUCCCGGGUUCGAUACCCUUACCAGGCG
rnacentral:tRNA from 1 species